rnacentral:pre_miRNA from 1 species
GUCAUAAUUUGGGGCGAUUGUCGGACUAGUCGCUGUCGCAGUCAUUCGGUUUCACCUUAGUGACUAGACCGAACACUCGCGUCCUAAACGAACGAC